rnacentral:rRNA from 1 species
UACGGGGGGGGCAAGCGUUGUCCGGAAUCAUUGGGCGUAAAGAGCGUGUAGGCGGCCCGAUAAGUCCGCUGUGAAAGUCAAGGGCUCAACCCUUGAAAGCCGGUUGAUACUGUCGGGCUAGAGUCCGGAAGAGGCGAGUGGAAUUCCCGGUGUAGCGGUGAAAUGCGCAGAUAUCGGGAGGAACACCAAUGGCGAAGGCAGCUCGCUGGGACGGUACUGACGCUGAGACGCGAAAGCGUGGGGAGCAAACAGGG